rnacentral:sRNA from 1 species
UGGAGACACCGGCUAGGCCAGGGGGCCUGCCCUUGGGACAGGUCCAGACCCAUGGAGCCCCCCGGGAGGAGCAGCAGGUCCACAGCGUCUCAUACUCUACACCAGUAUUGCUGUCCUACUCAGGUCCUUGACUCCAUGAAGCUUACCCCCUCAGGCAGGCUGGCAGAGAGCAGAUUCCCCCAUGGGACCCUGUCCCCUGCUUCAGGAACCAGAUGGGCAAGCAUCGUGCCCCUUCCUCCCCCCACCUUCUUCUUGGAAUUCCCAUCCCCACUGCUGUCUCCUCUGGACUCCAGCCCCUGAAUUAAAGAGAGCUGGAGCCCUAGGUCCGACUAAAAUGUGGGAGAAGCAGAGCUUGGAGCUUGGAGCUUGGAACCUGGACCCUCCCGUACCUGCACUCCCACUUCCCAGGCACCCUGGAGCCUGCCACUACUGGAGAGGUCUCCAAAUGACAUCCCAAGGACCUACCUCUGUCCUCUGUGAGCACAAAGAGAUGCAGGGUGCCUAGGGCUCAGAGGACCAGACGGGGGCAGGACCCAGCCUGCCUAGUUCCCUGUCGUUUGUUCCCUGCUGUGGCCAUUGCUGCCAUCUCCUCCACUGCUUGAAGGCCUCACCCCAUGCCCUCUGCCACUCCCAUAGUGCUCUGUAAAUAUGAUCAGGAGGAAAAGGCCUCUCAGAGUGCUUGUUGCUGUGUACAAAGGAAUUUCCAUCAAUAAAAGCUGAUCUCUUC